UAAAACACGUAUGAUAAAGAAGAAGUACUCGAUGUAUCUUUUUUAGAGAGUCUGUGGUUGGUGCAAACAGAUAAAGAUAUCGUAGGAAAUGCCUCUUUAAAGUGGGUUUGAUGAAAAAUUAGUAGUCAAGCACGGCAAACGACCGUUAUCGUGAAAGGUCAUCUUUUUGGUGACAAAAAAAAGUGGAACCACGUGAAAGCGUCUUUUGU
rnacentral:ncRNA from 1 species